rnacentral:rRNA from 1 species
CCUACGGGGGACUGCAGUGAGGAAUAUUGGUCAAUGGACGGAAGUCUGAACCAGCCAUGCAGCGUGCAGGAAGACGGCUCUAUGAGUUGUAAACUGCUUUUGUACAAGGGUAAACCUGAAUACGUGUGUUCAGCUGAAAGUACUGUACGAAUAAGGAUCGGCUAACUCCGUGCCAGCAGCCGCGGUAAUACGGAGGAUCCGAGCGUUAUCCGGAUUUAUUGGGUUUAAAGGGUGCGUAGGCGGAUUGUUAAGUUAGAGGUGAAAUGUCGGAGCUCAACCCGGGAACUGCCUCUAAUACUGGUGUGCUAGAGAGCAGGUGCGGUAGGCGGAAUGUGUGGUGUAGCGGUGAAAUGCUUAGAGAUCACACAGAACACCGAUUGCGAAGGCAGCUUACGAAUCUAUAUCUGACGCUGAGGCACGAAAGCGUGGGUAGCGAACAGGAUUAGAUACCCCUGUAGUC